rnacentral:rRNA from 1 species
ACGCGNAAGAACCUAUACCAGGCACCUUGACAUCCCGCUGACCGAGCUCAAAGCAUGGGUUUUUCCCCGAAAGGGGCACAGAAACAGGAGCUGCAUAGCUGUCUUCAACUCGUGUCCUGAGAUGUUGGGUUAAUUCCCCCAACGAGCGCAAACUCUUGCCUUCAGUUGCCAUCAUUUAAUUGGGCACUCUGGAGGGACUGCGCGGCUGCAAACCUUGACGAAGGUGGGGAUGACCUCCAGUCCUCAUGGCCCUUACUGGCUGGGCUAGCACGUGCUACAAUGGUGGCGACAGACGGCACAAGCGAAAGCGCAAGCUCUAGCAAAUCCUCAAAAGCCAUCUCAAUUCAAAUUGCCCACUGCAACUCAGGCGCAUGAAGGUGGAAUCCCUAGUAAUCUCACAGCAUCACGCUGCGGUGAAUACGUUCCCGGGUCUUGUACACAGCU